rnacentral:lncRNA from 1 species
AAUUGAUAAUAUAGAGAUUGCCAUUUCUAGUCGCUUUUGCUACUUCUUUGCCUUCCAUGGUUCUCACAAAACAUCCAUUCAUGUUAAAUUGCACUUUGUACCCAUGAGUUACAAGUUUACUCACCGAAAGGAGGUUCUUCUUCAUCUUUGGCACAUGCAACACAUCCUUGAGAGUGAUUCUCUUGCUUAUGCCCUUCACCACCAC